rnacentral:rRNA from 1 species
UAAAGAGCUUGUAGGCGGUUUGUCGCGUCUGCUGUGAAAGCCCGGGGCUUAACUCCGGGUUUGCAGUGGGUACGGGCUAACUAGAGUGCAGUAGGGGAGACUGGAAUUCCUGGUGUAGCGGUGGAAUGCGCAGAUAUCAGGAGGAACACCGAUGGCGAAGGCAGGUCUCUGGGCUGUAACUGACGCUGAGAAGCGAAAGCAUGGGGAGCGAACAGGAUUAGAUACCCUGU